CUGUGCUUUUCUUCACAACCUAAAUCAAGAAGAUAAAAUGCAGCCGAGAAGAUCGCUAGGUUCCUGCCUGCAUGGUAUCGCUUCCACUCACUCACCGUUCAUCUUCCCGCUGAUUAUGACUCCAUCAAUUGACGCUAGCACUAUCUCCUCCGCUGCCGCAACCCACCAUCUCCUGGCCACAAUUAUACAUAAAACGUACUCAUGUAUUCAUUGGCAUCCAUUAUCCUGCAUGUGCGGAAGAAACUGCUCCAUUUAAUUGAAUCACAGAUGCAUUGGCGUUUAAAUACCUAAUUGUGCCGUCAUCUAGCAUACCGGCCUGCUCGCCUCUUCAGAAGAUUGCGCGCCGUCUCCAAACACUGGGCGUUUUACAAGCAAGGGCAGUUACUACUUCGUUUCUAUGAAGUUGUGCUCGCUUCAUCGAUAUGAGGAUUGAGAAGAAAACACACGUAUAUGGGCAUCUUCUAGGCUGCAUCGUGCGCGGACGACGUCCGUCUUGGCCGAGCCGCCGGUCACCGCCGGUGUGACCGGAACACAAUGUUGGCGUGCUGCACGUAUCGAUCCUACAACAGCCUACAUGAACUCCUACCACCAGUAGCCGAUGUCCAUGGCGAGCGAUAGAAAUCGGCAGUGCCUAUGGGGCCUGCGAGGUUUGCACCCUCCCUGUCUCGGUCUGUUCACGAAUUGUGGGUUGAUAUGUUAGUCACCCCCAAUUUCCAUAACAGAUGUAUCCAUGUGGUGCACCAACGUCCUACUCCUGACUCAGUUUUGCAGACAGGCCGGUCGAUUUUCUCCCCCUUUCACAUAAAGCCGUUUUAGUCUGGUUGAUUCUUCUUUGCCCAUAUUGGAUUAGAUGCAAGCAGAUUCGUGUUUACAGUUUGCACAAUGACACAUACUACAGCCUAAUAAGACUAACAUGAGGAGGUGGAAAGGCGCUCAUUUAUGAAAGACGGAAUAUACAGCAUUUUGUUUAUUUGACUCAAGAGACGAUAUGGUUUGUGCUCACACUAUUAUGUAUGGAAGAAUACUUUACCGAGUUAUUGUACUCACAUCUUUUGUUCUCUUGGAUAUUUGGGAAUUGUACAGAAGAGGAUUUAUGGCCCAUUUUGGAAUUUCUCUUGGAUAUUUUCACACAUGGUUCUCUGCUCAUUGCCCUCGCACUCGAUAUUACUCUAUUAUUUCAAUAUUCUUAUUCAUUUCAAAUUUUAAUAUAUGUCAUACAUAUAAUUUUUCCUAAUUUCCGCAGCAACGCGCGGGGU